rnacentral:rRNA from 1 species
UCCUGCCGGACCUGACUGCUAUCGGAUUGAUACUAAGCCAUGCGAGUCUUUGUAGUAAUACAAGGCAGACGGCUCAGUAACACGUAGUCAACCUACCCUAUGGACAAGAAUAAUCUCGGGAAACCGGGCAUAAUUCUUGAUAGAUCAUAAUGCCUGGAAUGGUUUAUGGUUAAAAUGAUUCGUCGCCAUAGGAUGGGACUGCGGCCUAUCAGCUUGUUGGUGAGGUAAUGGCCCACCAAGGCGAUUACAGGUACGGGCUCUGAGAGGAGAAGCCCGGAGAUGGGUACUGAGACACGGACCCAGGCCCUAUGGGGCGCAGCAGGCGAGAAAACUUUGCAAUGUGCGAAAGCACGACAAGGUUAAUCCGAGUGAUUUCUGCUAAAGAAAUCUUUUACCAGUCGUAAAACCGCUGGUGAAUAAGGGGUGGGCAAGUUCUGGUGUCAGCCGCCGCGGUAAAACCAGCACCUCAAGUGGUCAGGAUGAUUAUUGGGCCUAAAGCAUCCGUAGCCGGCUUUGUAAGUUUUCGGUUAAAUCCAUGUGCUCAACGCAUGGGCUGCCGAAAAUACUGCAUAGCUAGGGAGUGGGAGAGGUAGACGGUACCCAGUAGGUAGGGGUAAAAUCCUUUGAUCUAUUGAUGACCACCUGUGGCGAAGGCGGUCUACCAGAACACGUUCGACGGUGAGGGAUGAAAGCUGGGGGAGCAAACCGGAUUAGAUACCCGGGUAGUCCCAGCUGUAAACGAUGCAGACUAGAUGAUGCAUUGGCAUAAUAGCCAUUGCAGUGUCUCAGGGAAGCCGUUAAGUCUGCCGCCUGGGAAGUACGUACGCAAGUAUGAAACUUA